AUUGAACGCUGGCGGCAGGCCUAACACAUGCAAGUCGAGCGGAGCGGCGGACGGGUGAGUAAUGCCUAGGAAUCUGCCUGGUAGUGGGGGAGAACGUCCGGAAACGGGCGCUAAUACAGCAUACUAUCAGAUGAGCCUUGGUCGGAUUAGCUAGUUGGUGGGGUAAAGUCCUACCAAGGCGACGAUCCGGAACUGGUCUGAGAUGAUGAUCAGUCACACUGGAACUGAGACACGGUCCAGACUCCUACGGGAGGCAGCAUUGGGGAAUAUUGGACAAUGGGCGAAAGCCUGAUCCAGCCAUGCCGCGUGUGUGAAGAAGGUCUUCGGAUUGUAAAGCACUUUAAGUUGGGAGGCGUUACCAACAGAAUAAGCACCGGCUAACUUCGUGCCAGCAGCCGCGGUAAUUC
rnacentral:rRNA from 1 species